AGCCCUGGGUCCCUGAACAAUGCUGGUAUCACUUACUCCUCCUCCUCCUCUUUGAAACUCAUGUUGCUAGAAGAGCACUCCAGGCCUGCCCAGAUCUCCUGAGUUGCAAUCUCAGCCUCCUGAGGGUUUCUCUGAGUAACAGCCUGGCUGUCCUGGAACUCACUCUGUAGAUCACUCGAACUCAUAGAGAUCUCCUUGCCUCUGCCUCCUGAGUGUUGGGAUUAAAGGUGUUUGCCACCA